rnacentral:rRNA from 1 species
GAUGAACGCUGGCGGCGUGCCUAAUACAUGCAAGUCGAGCGAACGGACGAGAAGCUUGCUUCUCUGAUGUUAGCGGCGGACGGGUGAGUAACACGUGGAUAACCUACCUAUAAGACUGGGAUAACUUCGGGAAACCGGAGCUAAUACCGGAUAAUAUUUUGAACCGCAUGGUUCAAAAGUGAAAGACGGUCUUGCUGUCACUUAUAGAUGGAUCCGCGCUGCAUUAGCUAGUUGGUAAGGUAACGGCUUACCAAGGCAACGAUGCAUAGCCGACCUGAGAGGGUGAUCGGCCACACUGGAACUGAGACACGGUCCAGACUCCUACGGGAGGCAGCAGUAGGGAAUCUUCCGCAAUGGGCGAAAGCCUGACGGAGCAACGCCGCGUGAGUGAUGAAGGUCUUCGGAUCGUAAAACUCUGUUAUUAGGGAAGAACAUAUGUGUAAGUAACUGUGCACAUCUUGACGGUACCUAAUCAGAAAGCCACGGCUAACUACGUGCCAGCAGCCGCGGUAAUACGUAGGUGGCAAGCGUUAUCGGGAAUUAUUGGGCGUAAAGCGCGCGUAGCGGUUUUUUAGUCUGAUGUGAAAGCCCACGGCUCAACCGUGGAGGGUCAUUGGAAACUGGAAAACUUGAGUGCAGAAGAGGAAAGUGGAAUUCCAUGUGUAGCGGUGAAAUGCGCAGAGAUAUGGAGGAACACCAGUGGCGAAGGCGACUUUCUGGUCUGUAACUGACGCUGAUGUGCGAAAGCGUGGGGAUCAAACAGGAUUAGAUACCCUGGUAGUCCACGCCGUAAACGAUGAGUGCUAAGUGUUAGGGGGUUUCCGCCCCUUAGUGCUGCAGCUAACGCAUUAAGCACUCCGCCUGGGGAGUACGACCGCAAGGUUGAAACUCAAAGGAAUUGACGGGGACCCGCACAAGCGGUGGAGCAUGUGGUUUAAUUCGAAGCAACGCGAAGAACCUUACCAAAUCUUGACAUCCUUUGACAACUCUAGAGAUAGAGCCUUCCCCUUCGGGGGACAAAGUGACAGGUGGUGCAUGGUUGUCGUCAGCUCGUGUCGUGAGAUGUUGGGUUAAGUCCCGCAACGAGCGCAACCCUUAAGCUUAGUUGCCAUCAUUAAGUUGGGCACUCUAAGUUGACUGCCGGUGACAAACCGGAGGAAGGUGGGGAUGACGUCAAAUCAUCAUGCCCCUUAUGAUUUGGGCUACACACGUGCUACAAUGGACAAUACAAAGGGCAGCGAAACCGCGAGGUCAAGCAAAUCCCAUAAAGUUGUUCUCAGUUCGGAUUGUAGUCUGCAACUCGACUACAUGAAGCUGGAAUCGCUAGUAAUCGUAGAUCAGCAUGCUACGGUGAAUACGUUCCCGGGUCU